GUGCUUCCUUUGGCAGCACAUAACACUAAAUUAGAAUGAUACAGAGAUUAGCCUGACCCCUGCACAAGGAUGCUGUGCAAAUUUGUGAAGCAUCCCAUAUUUAA
ensembl:snRNA U6 U6 spliceosomal RNA